rnacentral:snRNA from 1 species
AUACCUUUCUCGGCCUUUUGGCUAAGAUCAAGCGUAAUAUCUGUUUUUAUCAGUUUAAUAUCACUCACACGAUAUUAACUCAAUUUUUUAAGGGAGAAAGUCCACCACGAUAGCUUGCUCCUUGGUGUUACACUACUGCCACGCACCCCAC